UGAAUGUGCUGGGGCCAUCAGAGAUGGCUUCAGGCAACUAGGCCCUGGGCCCUGGUUGACCCACAGCCCCGCAGAGAUGGAGGGGAUGGAAUGAAUGGGAAGAGGCCAGGAGGGCACAGGCAGGGAAGAGCAGGAAGGAAUGGGGCUGGAGGAGAGGCCCAGAGCCUGGGACCCUGAGUGCCAGCCUGGACCCUGGACCGAAAUGCGGAGGUGAUAAAGCUGGGAAUGUGGGCCAUUGGGGAACCAGUUCCCCAUAUUCCAUCCCUCUCCCCAGGGUCCCCUGGGAAGCUGAGCCCUGGGCCCUUCAGGGUGUGGGGGUCUCCCAGAGCCUGGGUGGAAGCUGGGGUGGAUGGAAGCUCUCUGGUGACCCAAGUGCCCCUGGUCGUCUGUCUGUGCUGUAGGGGGCCCUGGGGUGAAGAGAGGCAGCACCGGAUAGAUGGGGAAUGGCUACGGAGGCCGCUGCCCUCUGGGGAAAUGCUGAGCAUUGCAGGGCUCCUGCCGGUCCCGAGGACCUCUGCCUCAUACCCUCGCCAGCCGCCAAGGAAGACAGACCCUCAGGCUUGGCCUCCAGUGCUGCCUGGCCUGGGUCUCCUCCCUAGAACCGCAAACAUGCUUUCCUGCCUGCUUCCGCUUGCCAUGCAAAGGGCUUGCUGACCAGGGUGGGAUUGGCAUGGGCAGGCCUGCAGCCACUACCCAGCACCUCAUUCAUUCAUUCGACAAACAUCCAUGAGGCCACGUGCCAGGGACCAUGUUCCCAGUGAGAGAAACCAUGAGAAGAAAACAGACUCAAUCAACGUCUGCCCUCAGGGAGGGCAUCACUUGGUCACCUUGUAGUGGGGGAACUACAUCCAGGCUGGGGAACUUAAGCAUGGAAUUGAACACUUCAUUAUUUGUGUUUUAAUUUAUAAUCGAUCUAAUAAAGUUACUAGAUAAAAACCUCA